rnacentral:tRNA from 2 species
GGGAUUGUAGUUCAACUGGUUAGAGCACCGCCCUGUCACGGCGGAAGUUGCGGGUUCAAAUCCCGUCAAUCUCG